rnacentral:rRNA from 1 species
UGUGUAGGUGGCCUGUUAAGUUCCGUGUGAAAUCUCCCGGCUCAACCGGGAGGGUGCGCGGAAAACUGGCGGGCUAGAGUGCGGGAUGGGAGAGUAGAAUUCCUGGUGUAGCGGUGAAAUGCGUAGAUAUCAGGAGGAAUACCGGUGGUGUAGACGGCUCUCUGGACCGUAACUGACACUGAAACACGAAAGCGUGGGUAGCAAACAGGAUUAGAUACCCUGGUAGUCCACGCCCUAAACGAUGCACAUUUGGUGUAGGUCAUUCAGUUGAUCUGUGCCGGAGCUAACGCGUUAAAUGUGCCGCCUGGGGAUACAGUCGCAAGGCUGAA